UCAGGAUGAACGCUGGCGGCGUGCCUAACACAUGCAAGUCGAGCGUGAACCCUUAGAAUGAAACUCGGUCGAAUGAAGAGGGGGAAAGCGGCGGACGGGUGAGUAACGCGUAGGCAACCUGCCCCGUACAGAGGGAUAGCCUCGGGAAACCGGGAUUAAAACCUCAUAAUACCAUGGUAUCACAUGAUGCAAUGGUCAAAGAUUUAUCGGUAUGGGAUGGGCCUGCGUCUGAUUAGCUGGUUGGUGGGGUAACGGCCUACCAAGGCAACGAUCAGUAGCCGACCUGAGAGGGUAAUCGGCCACAUUGGAACUGAGACACGGUCCAAACUCCUACGGGAGGCAGCAGUGGGGAAUAUUGCACAAUGGGCGAAAGCCUGAUGCAGCAACGCCGCGUGAGCGAAGAAGGCCUUUGGGUCGUAAAGCUCUGUCGGGAAGGAAGAUAAUGACGGUACUUCCCGAGGAAGCCCCGGCUAACUACGUGCCAGCAGCUGC
rnacentral:rRNA from 1 species